UUCCCAGACUCCUACGGGAGGCAGCAGUGAGGAAUAUUGGUCAAUGGCCGGAAGGCUGAACCAGCCAAGCCGCGUGAGGGAGGAAGGCGCAGAGCGUCGCAGACCUCUUUUGCCGGGGGACAAAAGGCCGGACGGGUCCGGUUCUGAGGGUACCCGGAGAAAAAGCAUCGGCUAACUCCGUGCCAGCAGCCGCGGUAAUACGGAGGAUGCGAGCGUUAUCCGGAUUUAUUGGGUUUAAAGGGUGCGCAGGCGGAAUGUCAAGUCAGCGGUAAAAUUUCGGGGCUCAACCCCGUCGUGCCGUUGAAACUGGCGUUCUUGAGUGAGCGAGAAGUAUGCGGAAUGCGUGGUGUAGCGGUGAAAUGCAUAGAUAUCACGCAGAACUCCGAUUGCGAAGGCAGCAUACCGGCGCUCAACUGACGCUCAUGCACGAAAGCGUGGGUAUCGAACAGGAUUAGAUACCCCAGUA
rnacentral:rRNA from 1 species